AUGUUUAAGUGAAGAUGGGAGAGAGGUGAGGGAGAGUCUCGUGUGCGCAUCUGAGGGAAGGGCUUUCCGGGGAGAAAGCAGCUGGUGCAAAGGUCCUGAGGUGUGAGUGUAGCCCGGUUGAUUCCAAGACUUGUGAGAAGAUCACGGUGACUCAAGGAAGGAGCAAGAGAUAGAGCAGGAGCACAGCAGUCAUGUAUGGAUGCGAAAGUUGGACUGUGAAGAAAGCUGAGCGCCAAAGAAUUGAUCCUUUUGAACUGUGGUGUUGGAGAAGACUCUUGAGAGUCCCUUGGACUGCAAGGAGAUCCAACCAGUCCAUUCUAAAGGAGAUCAGUCCUGGGUGUUCUUUGGAAGGACUGAUGCUGAAGCUGAAACUCCAGUACUUUGGCCACCUCAUGUGAAGAGCUGACUCAUUGGAAAAGACUCUGAUGCUGGGAGGGAUUGGGGGCAGGAGGAGAAGGGGACGACAGAGGAUGAGAUAGCUGGAUGGCAUCACCAACGUGAAGGACAUGAGUUUGGGUGAACUCUGGGAGUUGGUGAUGGACAGGGAGACCAGGCAUGCUGCAAUUCAUGGGGUUGCCAGAGUCGGACACGACUGAGCGAUUGAACUGAACUGAAUGUUCCAUUAUAUGGAUAUAGCAUACUCUCUUUAUCAAAGGAGGGUUUGAGCAGAGGAAUGACCUGAUCAGAGUGGCAUUUAACACGGCUCACUCCACCUAUUGU
ensembl:lncRNA